rnacentral:rRNA from 1 species
GGGCUUGACAUCCCACGAACCUGCAGAGAUGUGGGAGUGCUCGAAAGAGAGCCUGGACACAGGUGCUGCAUGGCCGUCGUCAGCUCGUGUCGUGAGAUGUUGGGUUAAGUCCCGCAACGAGCGCAACCCUUGUCAUUAGUUGCUACGAAAGGGCACUCUAAUGAGACUGCCGGUGACAAACCGGAGGAAGGUGGGGAUGACGUCAGGUCCUCAUGGUCCUUAUGGGUAGGGCUACACACGUCAUACAAUGGCCGGUACAGAGGGCUGCCAACCCGCGAGGGGGAGCUAAUCCCAGAAAACCGGUCGUAGUCCGGAUCGUAGUCUGCAACUCGCCUGCAUGAAGUUGGAAUCGCUAGUAAUCGCGGAUCAGCACGCCGCGGUGAAUACGUUCCCGGGCCUUGUACACACCGCCCGUCACAUCACGAAAGCUGGCUGUACUCGAAGUCGCUGAG